rnacentral:rRNA from 1 species
CCUACGGGAGGCAGCAGUGGGGGAUAUUGGUCAAUGGCCGAGAGGCUGAACCAGCGAAGUCGCGUGAGGGAAGAAGGUCCUCUGGAUUGUAAGCCUCGUUUGUCAGGGAGCAAAGUCACCCACGUGUGGGUGUUGGAGAGUAGCUGAAGAAAAAGCAUCGGCUAACUCCGUUCCAGCAGCCGCGGUAGUACGGAGGAUGCAAGCGUUAUCCGGAUUUAUUGGGUUUAAAGGGUGCGUAGGCGGGUUAUCAAGGCAGCGGUAAAAUCGUGGAGCUCAACUCCAUCCAGCCGUUGAAACUGAUGAUCUUGAGUGGGCGAGAAGUAUGCGGAAUGCGUGGUGUAGCGGUGAAAUGCAUAGAUAUUACGCAGAACUCCGAUGGCGAAGGCAGCAUACCGGCGUCCGACUGACGUUGAAGCACGAAAGCGUGGGUAUCGAACAGGAUUAGAUACCCGUGUAGUC